GAUGAACGCUGGCGGCGUGCCUAAUACAUGCAAGUCGAGCGAACAGACGAGGAGCUUGCUCCUCUGACGUUAGCGGCGGACGUGUGAGUAACACGUGGAUAACCUACCUAUAAGACUGGGAUAACUUCGGGAAACCGGAGCUAAUACCGGAUAAUAUAUUGAACCGCAUGGUUCAAUAGUGAAAGACGGUUUUGCUGUCACUUAUAGAUGGAUCCGCGCCGCAUUAGCUAGUUGGUAAGGUAACGGGUUACCAAGGCAACGAUGCGUAGCCGACGUGAGAGGGUGAUCGGCCACACUGGAACUGAGACAGGGUCCAGACUCCUAAGGGAGGCAGCAGUAGGGAAUCUGCCGCAAUGGGCGAAAGCCUGGCGGAGCAACGCCGCGUGAGUGAUGAAGGUCUUCGGAUCGUAAAACUCUGUUAUUAGGGAAGAACAAAUGUGUAAGUAACUAUGCACGUCUUGACGGUACCUAAUAAGAAAGCCACGGCUAACUACGUG
rnacentral:rRNA from 1 species